AGAGUUUGAUCAUGGCUCAGAGCGAACGCUAGCGGCACGCUUAACACAUGCAAGUCGAACGCACUUAGCCUUCGGGCGGUGAGUGGCGAACGGGUGAGUAACACGUAGAUUAUCUACCCCACAGCGGGGGAUAGCCCCGGGAAACCGGGAUUAAUACCGCAUACGCCCUUCGGGGUAAAAGGCUUCGGCCACUGAGGGAUGAGUCUGCGGCCCAUUAUCUAAUCCUAGUUGGUAGGGUAACGGCCUACCAAGGGUACGAUGGGUAGCUGGUCUGAGAGGAUGAUCAGCCACAUUGGGACUGAGACACGGCCCAAACUCCUACGGGAGGCAGCAGUGGGGAAUCUUGCACAAUGGAGGAAACUCUGAUGCAGCGAUGCCGCGUGAGUGAAGAAGGCCUUUGGGUUGUAAAGCUCUUUCGUCGGGGAAGAAAAUGACUGUACCCGAAUAAGAAGGUCCGGCUAACUUCGUGCCAGCAGCCGCGGUAAUACGAAGGGACCUAGCGUAGUUCGGAAUUACUUGGGCUUAAAGAGUUCGUAGGUGGUUGAAAAAGUUAGUGGUGAAAUCCCAGAGCUUAACUCUGGAACUGCCAUUAAAACUUUUCAGCUAGAGUAUGAUAGAGGAAAGCAGAAUUUCUAGUGUAGAGGUGAAAUUCGUAGAUAUUAGAAAGAAUACCAAUUGCGAAGGCAGCUUUCUGGAUCAUUACUGACACUGAGGAACGAAAGCAUGGGUAGCGAAGAGGAUUAGAUACCCUCGUAGUCCAUGCCGUAAACGAUGUGUGUUAGACGUUGGAAAUUUAUUUUCAGUGUCGCAGGGAAACCGAUAAACACACCGCCUGGGGAGUACGACCGCAAGGUUAAAACUCAAAUGAAUUGACGGGGACCCGCACAAGUAGUGGAGCAUGUGGUUUAAUUCGAAGAUACGCGCAGAACCUUACCAACACUUGACAUGUUCGUCGCGACUUUAAGAGAUUAAAGUUUUCGGUUCGGCCGGACGAAACACAGGUGCUGCAUGGCUGUCGUCAGCUCGUGUCGUGAGAUGUUGGGUUAAGUCCCGCAACGAGCGCAACCCUCACUUUUAGUUGCCAUCAUUAAGUUGGGCACUCUGAAAGAACUGCCCAGUGAUAAGCUGGAGGAAGGUGGGGAUGACGUCAAGUCCUCAUGGCCCUUACGUGUUGGGCUACACACGUGCUACAAUGGUAUCUACAACAGGAAGCAAAACUGCGAAGUUAAGCAAAUCCCUAAAAGAUACCUCAGUUCGGAUUGCACUCUGCAACUCGAGUGCAUGAAGCUGGAAUUACUAGUAAUCGUGGAUCAGCGUGCCACGGUGAAUGCGUUCCCGGGUCUUGUACACACCGCCCGUCACACCAUGGGAGUUGGUUCUACCUUAAGGCAAGGUUUCAAACCCUUGACCACGGUAUAGUCAGCGACCUGGGGUGAAGUCGUAAC
rnacentral:rRNA from 1 species